rnacentral:rRNA from 1 species
UACGGGAGGCAGCAGUAAGGAAUAUUGGUCAAUGGGCGGAAGCCUGAACCAGCCAUGCCGCGUGCAGGAUGACUGCCCUAUGGGUUGUAAACUGCUUUUGUCCGGGAAUAAACCUCCUUACGAGUAGGGAGCUGAAUGUACCGGAAGAAUAAGGAUCGGCUAACUCCGUGCCAGCAGCCGCGGUAAUACGGAGGAUCCGAGCGUUAUCCGGAUUUAUUGGGUUUAAAGGGUGCGUAGGCGGCCCGUUAAGUCAGGGGUGAAAUACGGUGGCUCAACCAUCGCAGUGCCUUUGAUACUGACGGGCUUGAAUCCAUAUGAAGUGGGCGGAAUAAGACAAGUAGCGGUGAAAUGCAUAGAUAUGUCUUAGAACUCCGAUUGCGAAGGCAGCUCACUAAGCUGGUAUUGACGCUGAUGCACGAAAGCGUGGGGAUCGAACAGGAUUAGAUACCCUGGUAGUCCACGCCCUAAACGAUGAUAACUCGAUGUUGGCGAUAGACAGCCAGCGUCCCAGCGAAAGCGUUAAGUUAUCCACCUGGGGAGUACGCCCGCAAGGGUGAAACUCAAAGGAAUUGACGGGGGCCCGCACAAGCGGAGGAGCAUGUGGUUUAAUUCGAUGAUACGCGAGGAACCUUACCCGGGCUUGAAAGUUAGUGGAGGAUGCAGAGACGCAUCCGUCCUUCGGGACACGAAACUAGGUGCUGCAUGGCUGUCGUCAGCUCGUGCCGUGAGGUGUUGGGUUAAGUCCCGCAACGAGCGCAACCCCUAUGUUUAGUUGCCAGCAUGUUAUGGUGGGGACUCUAAACAGACUGCCUGUGCAAACAGUGAGGAAGGUGGGGACGACGUCAAGUCAUCAUGGCCCUUACGUCCGGGGCUACACACGUGCUACAAUGGACGGUACAGCGGGCAGCUAGCUGGCAACAGCAUGCUAAUCUCUAAAAGCCGUUCACA